GCAUCAGUAGCUUAACGCUCAGAGCGCCGGUCUUGUAAACCGGCAAGUGAAGGUUAAAAUCCUUCCUGAUGCU
rnacentral:tRNA from 1 species